rnacentral:rRNA from 1 species
GAUGAACGCUGGCGGCGUGCCUAAUACAUGCAAGUCGAACGCAUUGUGGUUGAAAUGAUAUGAAGAACUUGUUCAGAUUUGAUUUUCAACAUUGCAAUGAGUGGCGAACGGGUGAGUAACACGUGGGAAACCUACCUCUUAGCAGGGGAUAACAUUUGGAAACAAAUGCUAAUACCGUAUAAUAAUUAAAACCGCAUGGUUUUAGUUUAAAAGAUGGUCUUGCUAUCACUAAGAGAUGGUCCCGCGGUGUAUUAGUUAGUUGGUGAGGUAAUGGCUCACCAAGACAAUGAUACAUAGCCGAGUUGAGAGACUGACGGCCACAAUGGGACUGAGACACGGCCCAUACUCCUACGGGAGGCAGCAGUAGGGAAUCUUCCACAAUGGACGAAAGUCUGAUGGAGCAACGCCGCGUGUGUGAU